rnacentral:lncRNA from 1 species
GCCCAAAUGCCAGAUCUACAAGUAACUUUGAGAUCGCAGACAUUUCACCUCCCAGUUUCCGCUUCCUUACCAGAAGGACAGCAGCCCUUCUCAUACAGUAGUGACAGAGGGCUUGAUGAUCUCCAGAUGGGCAGCUGCAUCCUAACAGGACAUUCAUCUGACGGCUCCCCAAAGGAGGAACCAGUCAUUUGGACACUAGAUUUGUGAGUUCAUCAUUAUGUCUUAGUCUUAGUCGGCUAACACACCGACCAGCAAUAUAAUGAUUUGAACCAGUCAAAACAAGGAUUUGGUGUUUUAGGGUAUGUGUGUGGGAGGCAAG